GGGCUCAACCUGGGAACUGCGUUNUGAACUGGGUGACUAGAGUGUGUCAGAGGGAGGUAGAAUNCCACGUGUAGCAGUGAAAUGCGUAGAGAUGUGGAGGAAUACCGAUGGCGAAGGCANCCUCCUGGGAUAACACUGACGUUCAUGCCCGAAAGCGUGGGUAGCAAACAGGAUUAGAUACCCUGGUAGUCCACGCCCUAAACGAUGUCGAUUAGCUGUUGGGCAGCAUGACUGCUUAGUAGCGAAGCUAACGCGUGAAAUCGACCGCCUGGGGAGUACGGUCGCAAGAUUAAAACUCAAAGGAAUUGACGGGGACCCGCACAAGCGGUGGAUGAUGUGGAUUAAUUCGAUGCAACGCGAAGAACCUUACCUGGUCUUGACAUGUACGGAACCCUCCAGAGACGGAGGGGUGCCUUCGGGAGCCGUAACACAGGUGCUGCGUGGCUGUCGUCAGCUCGUGUCGUGAGAUGUUGGGUUAAGUCCCGCAACGAGCGCAACCCUUGUCAUUAGUUGCCAUCAUUAAGUUGGGCACUCUAAUGAGACUGCCGGUGUCAAGCCGGAGGAAGGUGGGGAUGACGUCAAGUCCUCAUGGCCCUUAUGACCAGGGCUUCACACGUCAUACAAUGGUCGGUACAGAGGGUAGCCAAGCCGCGAGGCGGAGCCAAUCUCACAAAACCGAUCGUAGUCCGGAUUGCACUCUGCAACUCGAGUGCAUGAAGUCGGAAUCGCUAGUAAUCGCAGGUCAGCAUACUGCGGUGAAUACGUUCCCGGGUCUUGUACACACC
rnacentral:rRNA from 1 species